rnacentral:lncRNA from 1 species
AUGCUCCUUGGUUUUGGGGUUAUUUGGGGGAUUUGGGGUCAUUCCUGGGAUUUGGGGUCCCUCUCAUUCCAUUGGGGUUUGGGAUCAUUCCCAUGGUUUGGAGUCAUUCCCGGGAUUUGGGGCCAUUUCUGGGAUUUGGGGUCAUUCCUGGGAUUUGGGGCCAUUUCCAGGUUUUGGGGUCAUUCCUGGGAUUUGGGGUCAUCUCUGGGAUUUGGGGCCAUUCCUGGGAUUUGGGGCCAUUCCUGGGUUUUGGGGUCAUUCCUUAGUUUUGGGGUAAUUCCUGGGAUUUGGGGUCAUUCCCGGGAUUUGGGGAACGCUCCUUGGUUUUGGGGUUAUUUGGGGGAUUUGGGGUCACUCUCAUUCCAUUGGGGUUUGGGAUCAUUCCCAUGGUUUGGGGCCAUUCCUGCAUUUUGGGGUCAUUCCUUGGUUUUGGGGCCAUUUCUGGGAUUUGGGGUCAUUCCCGGGAUUUGGGGUGGCUCCUUGGUUUUGGGGUUAUUUGGGGGAUUUGGGGUCAUUUCCAGGAUUUGGGGUCCCUCUCAUUCCAUUGGGGUUUGGGAUCAUUCCCAUGGUUUGGAGUCAUUCCCGGGAUUUGGGGCCAUUUCUGGGAUUUGGGGUCAUUUCUGGGAUUUGGGGCCAUUUCCAGGUUUUGGGGUCAUUCCUGGGAUUUGGGGUCAUCUCUGGGAUUUGGGGCCAUUCCUGGGUUUUGGGGUCAUUCCUGGGAUUUGGGGUCACUCUCAUUCUAUUGGGGUUUUGGGGUCAUUCCCAUGGUUUGGGGCCAUUCCUGGGUUUUGGGGUAAUUUCUGGUAUUUGGGGCCAUUCCUGCAUUUUGGGGUCAUUCCUUGGUUUUGGGGCCAUUUCUGGAAUUUGGGGCUAUUUCUGGGAUUUGAGGUCAUUCCUGGGAUUUGGGGUCACUCUCAUUCUAUUGGGGUUUGGGAUCAUUCCCAUGGUUUGGGGCCAUUCCUGGAUUUUGGGGCCAUUUCCAAGUUUUGGGGCCAUUCCUGGGAUUUGGGGUCA